CAGACAGGAAGUAAACGCUAACAGGAACACGGUAUGGGCUCUGUAGUGUUUAAAGAAUAGUUAAUCGUAUAUAAAAAGUUAACAGACUUGGGUCAAGUUCUCUCAUGUCUGAGAGCGACUGUGACCGCUGAUCUUUGGACAUUUCGACACCGGGUUCAGAAUCACCUCACAGCUCCAACAAACGGGUCUCUCAUCAGUGCCUUCAUCGCAUCAUGUCGAUUUAUUGCGAUGCAAAAAUCCCCCAAUCUACUUUUGCAGCCAAAUUCAAUCUAUCUAUCCUCCCCACCGGCUCCCUGUAGCAUCUUGAUCUAGUGUUCCAGGUUAGUAAUAAUGUGGGGUCAUGUAAAACUGGCAGGCUAACUGAUGUUGGCAGCUAUUUACUGUACUGUAAGCUACACUGGGCGAGAUGCUUUGGAAGAGCUUCCUUAUUUCAAAGUGGAUCUGCCUUUACCCCGUGUAAUGUCACGGCUAAUUGAGAGCAACAUUUGAUUGCGUGAUCCCCUGACCUCUGCGUAAAUGUUCAUUUAUUCGAGAUGUCCGAGAUAAGCCCCUUUUAAGUCUCGAGAAUCAGGUUGAGCCGUGUGUACGUCUUACAAAUCAUCGCAGUGUGCGAGGAGCCUCGUCUUGUUAUGUCUUUGCAAUGAGGAUUUGAAUAGGGCCAGUUUGGCUCGCUGUGGUUUUGCCUAGAGGCAGCUUUCAGGGAGAAAUAUUUAAUAUGUUUCCUCUCCUGUACUGAUGAAUGAAUUUAUGGAUCAUACUGUGAUAGGCACAGGAAAUAGCAAAAGUCUUAAAAAAUGACUAAGGAGGACUUUGAUUUUAAUUUGAUUGCUUAUGAUAAAUCAAUUUCCAUGAUGAAAGCAAUUACAAUGUGACAUUUUGUGAACACUGUGCAGAUUUUUAUCCAUUUUCCGUUCUAUUCAAUCGAUCGCUGGGGUCAUUCAGGUGACACGUGCAGUAAAAUGACCACAAUGCAAUGUGGAUAAGAAGCCCUCUUAUCACCUAUGCACACACUGAUGUAACAGAAGCUGAUUAGCUUAUCAAGUACUUAUGGGUCAACGCAGUUUUAAACCACACUCCCAAAUCCAUCUCCCAAAACAUUCCCAUUAUUUCCUUGCCGUCUGCCAUUUUGUAGUGCCGUGUGAUAUGUCUUGGAAGCAUAAUAAUAAAACCAAACACAGCAGAC